rnacentral:rRNA from 1 species
AGAGUUUGAUUCUGGCUCAGGGUGAACGCUGGCGGCGUGCUUAACACAUGCAAGUCGAACGGAGUUACAUGAAACCUAGUGAUUGUAAACUUAGUGGCGGACGGGUGAGUAACGCGUGGGUAACCUGCCUUAUCCAGGGGGAUAACAGUGAGAAAUUACUGCUAAUACCGCAUAAGCGCACAGAAUCGCAUGAUACAGUGUGAAAAGAUUUAUCGGGAUAAGAUGGACCCGCGUCUGAUUAGCUAGUUGGUGAGGUAACGGCCCACCAAGGCGACGAUCAGUAGCCGGCCUGAGAGGGUGAACGGCCACAUUGGGACUGAGACACGGCCCAAACUCCUACGGGAGGCAGCAGUGGGGAAUAUUGCACAAUGGGGGAAACCCUGAUGCAGCGAACCGCCGCGUGAGUGAUGAAGUAUUUCGGUAUGUAAAGCUCUAUCAGCAGGGAAGAAAAUGACGGUACCUGACUAAGAAGCCCCGGCUAACUACGUGCCAGCAGCAGC